rfam:Oryzias latipes DNA, ultracontig273, strain: Hd-rR.
GUGGGCUACGGGGACAUGUACCCCGUGACCAUCGGGGGGAAGAUCGUGGGGUCGCUGUGCGCCAUUGCCGGCGUCCUGACCAUCGCUCUGCCGGUGCCGGUCAUCGUUUCCAAC